rfam:Triticum aestivum genome assembly, contig: Triticum_aestivum_CS42_TGACv1_scaffold_622950_7DS
AAUAUACUCCCUCCGUCCGGAAAUACUUGUCAUCAAAAUGAAUAAAAUGGGAUGUAUCUAGACGUAUAUUAAUUCUAGAUACAUCUCUUUUUAUCCAUUUUGAUGACAAGUAUUUUCGGACGGAGGGAGUAUGAU